rnacentral:rRNA from 1 species
UACGAAGGGGGCUAGCGUUGCUCGGAAUCGCUGGGCGUAAAGCGCACGUAGGCGGAUUUUUAAGUCAGGGGUGAAAUCCUGGAGCUCAACUCCAGAACUGCCUUUGAUACUGGGAAUCUCGAGUCCGGAAGAGGUGAGUGGAACUGCGAGUGUAGAGGUGAAAUUCGUAGAUAUUCGCAAGAACACCAGUGGCGAAGGCGGCUCACUGGUCCGGUACUGACGCUGAGGUGCGAAAGCGUGGGGAGCAAACAGG